rnacentral:rRNA from 1 species
CCUACGGGUGGCAGCAGUGGGGAAUAUUGCACAAUGGGGGAAACCCUGAUGCAGCGACGCCGCGUGAGUGAAGAAGUAUUUCGGUACGUAAAGCUCUAUCAGCAGGGAAGAAAAUGACGGUACCUGACUAAGAAGCCCCGGCUAACUACGUGCCAGCAGCCGCGGUAAUACGUAGGGGGCAGGCGUUAUCCGGAUUUACUGGGGGUAAAGGGAGCGUAGACGGCAGCGCAAGUCUGGAGUGAAAUCCCAUGGCUUAACCAUGGAACUGCUUUGGAAACUGUGCAGCUAGAGUGCAGGAGAGGUAAGCGGAAUGCCUAGUGUAGCGGUGAAAUGCGUAGAUAUUAGGAGGAACACCAGUGGCGAAGGCGGCUUACUGGACUGUAACUGACGUUGAGGCUCGAAAGCGUGGGGAGCAAACAGGAUUAGAUACCCGGGUAGUC